AUUGAACGCUGGCGGCAGGCCUAACACAUGCAAGUCGAGCGGAUGAUGGGAGCUUGCUCCUUGAUUCAGCGGCGGACGGGUGAGUAAUGCCUAGGAAUCUGCCUGGUAGUGGGGGACAACGUUUCGAAAGGAACGCUAAUACCGCAUACGUCCUACGGGAGAAAGCAGGGGACCUUCGGGCCUUGCGCUAUCAGAUGAGCCUAGGUCGGAUUAGCUAGUUGGUGAGGUAAUGGCUCACCAAGGCGACGAUCCGUAACUGGUCUGAGAGGAUGAUCAGUCACACUGGAACUGAGACACGGUCCAGCCUCCUACGGGAGUCAGCAGUGGGGAAUAUUGGACAAUGGGCGAAAGCCUGAUCCGGCCAUGCCGCGUGUGUGAAGAAGGUCUUCGGAUUGUAAAGCACUUUAAGUUGGGAGGAAGGGCAGUAAGUUAAUACCUUGCUGUUUUGACGUUACCGACAGAAUAAGCACCGGCUAACUCUGUGCCAGCCGCCGCAGUAAUAC
rnacentral:rRNA from 1 species